GCGGAAGUAGUUCAGUGGUAGAAUACAACCUUGCCAAGGUUGGGGUCGCGGGUUCGAAUCCCGUAUUCCGCU
rnacentral:tRNA from 1 species